rnacentral:lncRNA from 1 species
ACUAUAGCAAUUUGAUAAUGAAGUACUCAAUUCCAUUAGUGUUCCCUAAUUUGACAAAGGAAGUAAAUUAGAAAUGGGCAUAAGGGAGUUAAAAUUUGUGAAUAGCGACAUGGAAAUUAUUCAAAUGAGCUUAUUAAUAACUUUGUGAUUUACAGGAAAAUUUAGUUAAAUUAUAAAAUAUAUGAUUGUGUACGAUGUUCAGUAAGAUUUAUUCUUUUAUGCCUAUGAGCUUACUAAGCUUUUAUAAGCUUACUUGUAUAUGUUAUUUGUUUUGUAGAUUGACUUAUAUAAGUAUGGAGGAUUGGAUCUACAUCAAGGAUCACACUAUCCAGAUUUAUUCCGGUAGAUUUUGUUAAUCAAGUUUUUGAUUUAUAUGGCAUAUAUAGGGGUUGAUUUGAUAAUGUAAUUGUAUGAAUGAUUAAGUAUAUAAGUAAGUUGAAUAUGAUGUUAUGUUUGAAAAUGAAAUAUACAUGUUUUGUCUUGAAAUAAUUGAUUGGUUGGACUCUUUUAGUGUAUAAAUGUGAUUUUGUACAGGUGAUAUAAAAAAGGGUGAGAAAUGUGGCCUUAAAUGGCCUAUUUUCGUCCACACGGGUAGACACAUUCGCGUGUGUCUAGGCCGUGUGUGACACACGGUCUACCACAUGGGUAUGUGAUAAGGCCUUGUGUCUUUUGCAGCUUAAAAAUGAGAAACAGAAUGUCUAGUUUUGGGCACACGGCCUAGCAUAUGGGCAUGUGGCUUGGCCGUGCCACUCACACGGGCUCCAACAUGGUCGUGUGAUGAUGCCGUGUAAAGUCUGCACCUCAAAUGUGAAAUUUAAUUAUCACACGGCCUGAGCAACACGGGCGCCUAGCAACACGGGCGUGUGCUCAGGCCGUAUAACUCGAGUUUUUUCUUGAAUGUAAGUCAGAGAGCUCCACGGGCUUGAGACACGGGCGUGUGGCCCUGUUUCAUGAUAAAACUUUCUUAAAUUUUCUCAAAACUCUGAAAGUUCUUGGUUUGGUCUUGAACUAUCUCCAAUGUAUGUUUUAGGCCUCAUAGGUCCGUGUAAGGAACUUUAAGCAUGUGUUUGAAUAAUAUUUAAUUUGGAAUGAGUUUUUAUGAUUCAGAUUUGUGUAUGUUUAAUUGUGUUUAAGUAAGGUAAUGCUACGUACCCUGUUCCGGCGUUGAAUACGGGUAAGGGGCGUUACAAUGAAAUGGUGGAUUUUGUUGUGAAUAUUGAUGGAUUAUGAGUAAUGAACCCGUGAAUUGGAAAUGAAAAUGAAUAAUGCCUUUGUAUGAGAUGAUUUAUUAGAUGCCUCAUGAAAUGCUAUUGCCAUAUAUUAAAAUGUGUAAUAUUUAUUGGAUGUGAACAAGAAUGAAUAAAUUAGUAUGAUGAACUUGGUAUUCUAUAUAUCAUUUCUUAAUUGCAUCUUACAUUUUUAUUUAUUUACAAUGAAUUCCAGACUCAAGUGCGGUGAUGUUCUAAUUUGUAAUGGCAUGUACCUAGGAGGUCUUUUGGUUGAUAUGGUUGAUAAUGUGAUGAUAUUUUGGUUUUCAAGUAAAAUGAAUGGUUAUUUGUAUAUAUGGUUGUGGUUGAGGCUAUGUUUUGGUAUGAUAGCCUAGCUUAAUGUGUUGGUAUAUGUUUUAGCUUAAAGCUUAGUGGUCUAAGUAGCUAAAUAUUAGUUCAAUUUUGGUAAAUUUGGCAUGAAUGAAAGUUCUGAAUGGUUGAUUCUUUAUUAAUAUGUUUGAAGAUAUAAAAUGUGGUACCAAUGAUGGUACAUUGGUUAGGCACUUAGUAUGGUUAUUUUAGCUUGUUUUGAGUAUGUUUAAUUGUGAUUUGAAUAGGUUAAAUGACUGGUGAAUUGGUUCCUUAGUGUCCAUGUAAAUACAAUUAGGUAAACUUGAGUUUUAAGGUAUAUUUAGGUACACACGGCCUGAGACAUGAUAUGUCACAUGACUGUGUGACGUACAAGGGCAACACACGGGCGUGUGCCCUGAACAUGUUGUAAAAUAGUAUAGGUGCGGUUCCCACACAGGCUGACACACGACUUGCGACAUGGCCGUGUAACCCAAGUCAGCGAGUUACACGGGCUGAGACACGGUCAUGUGUCCCAACUUUGAAAGUCACAUUGCCUGGUGUGUUCCACACGGCCUGGCCACAUGGCCGUGUGACCCCUAUUUUUAGGUAUUUUUGAGAUUGCCCUAAAACUUUCAAAAUUGUCUCAAACUAGUCCCUGUUUGUUUUUAGACUAUUUUAGGGUCCCGUAAACUUGUAUUAAGGAUUGUAAGAGUAUUUUUACUUUGAUUUGGAAUGAAAUAACAAACCUAAAUUAGGUGAAGUAGGUCAUUCUACUAAUAUCAUCAAAAGUAGAUAGGUAGAGUAUAGACCGAUACUCUAAUGCUAAUAAUUGAAAUAAUUUUGUUAUGUAUCCAACUUCUAGCUUUCGAGAGGAGAUAAAUAGUAAUACGAGUGUAGAUAGUGGAAGACCAAAUUUAACAUUGCUUUGCAUAUCUUAUUUCUAAGUUGUUUAAGGUUAUUACUUAUGGAAAUAUUAAAUUAAUUUAUAAUGCUCCCUAUAUGAUGUGAUGUAGAUAGUCAACUUACACCUUGACUUAUAUUGUAAUUAAAUGUUCUAAUUGGUUUGUAAUGCCUGUGACCCUAUUUUGACAACAGAGAAGAGUUAGGAGUGUUACAGUUUUAGUGAGAUUAGUUGAAUUAUUUGUAACCACUACACCCAUAUAUAUUAUAAUACUUUCAGAAUGAAUGACGAUGAGAGAUUUUGAUAGCAGUAAAAAAUUCUGCUAAGUAUUUUUCUUUGUUUUUCUCUGUAUUUGUUCUUUCAACUUCUCUAAACUCAAACAGUUCUUCCUAAUUCUUGGUCUAAUGAGUUAUUAUACAUGCUUGGUGAUUCUAUUAGGAGUAGUUGCAGGACUUUGGUGUUUGAAUUUGGAAAAUUUUCAUCAAGAACUUCAGGCUCUUACUGAAAUUUUCCUACUUCCAAGCAUGUUUUCUAUCACUGUUGGUGACUUAUGAGAAUUUAAUUGUAGCACCACAGUGCUUGGUUGGAAAAUUUUCAUGAACCGUCCACGUAUUAUGCAAGAAAGUGCAGAUUUUUGUUUAUCAAGGGACAUAUUAUGUGUAUUUUGUGACAAAUUGCCAUUAAAGAAAGAGAGAAAAGAAGAAAAAAGGAAAAGGGAAGGGAUGGUUAAGAGAAAAUAAAAGAAACAAAAAUUAAAUUACUCGAUAAAUGUUUAUAAGGAUUAAUUAUAUAAAUUAACUUAAAUUUUUAUCUAAAAUGUUGAUAUUAAAGCGUUACAUCAGUCAUCACAUUAUUAAUGUAAUUAAUAGACUACAACAUAACAAAACAAUAGCGCUAGUAAUCAUAUAAAAAAAAUUAAAAUUUUAAUGACCAAAAGGUAAUUUAAACAAACAUAGUUUAAUGAUUAAAACAAAAAAAUAAAAAAUAUUAAAUUUUAUUAGUAUUUUAAUAUGUGAUUAAGUUUUUAUUAUAUUAUAAUUAGAAAUGAAGGAAUGAAUAAAAUACAUAAAAAGUAGAUCUGGAGAGAAAUAUUGGCUUUUUUCAACAAAAUAAAUAAAUAAUUAUUUGUUCAUUGUUAUAUAAAAAGAGGGAGUUACCUUCAGGAGGAUGGGUGGUGGCGUUAGUCUGGGCAUUAAUGGAUUGGCCGCAUGAAAGCAAAACAACCAAGCAGAAGUAGAGCAAGGGUUUGGAAGAAGACAUCGUCAGCCUUGAAGUCAUCCUUUUUCCUUCAUUCAUGGGAGUUUCUCAUCAUCACAUCUACUCCACGCAACGAGCCA